rnacentral:rRNA from 1 species
AUUGAACGCUGGCGGCAUGCCUAACACAUGCAAGUCGAACGAGUGGCGGACGGGUGAGUAAUGUCUGGGAAACUGCCUGAUGGAGGGGGAUAACUACUGGAAACGGUAGCUAAUACCGCAUACCAUCAGAUGUGCCCAGAUGGGAUUCGGUAGUGGGUGGUGUAAAGGCUCACCUAGGCGACGAUCCCUAGCUGGUCUGAGAGGAUGACCAGCAACACGGGAACUGAGACACGGUCCAGACUCCUACGGGGGGCAGCAGUGGGGAAUAUUGCUCAAUGGGCGCAAGCCUGAUGCAGCAAUGCCGCGUGUGUGAAGAAGGCCUUCGGGUUGUAAAGCACUGUCAGCGAGGAGGCGUUACCCGCAGAAGAAGCACCGGCUAACUCCGUGCCAGCAGCCGCGGUAAUUC